rnacentral:hammerhead_ribozyme from 1 species
GUACUGCUGAAGAGUCCCAAACUCUGACGAAACAGCUGUCCAGUAC